UGCCCAGCUAUUGUCACUUAGUGAUCAAGACUAAACACAGAAAGUUCAUCAUGGAGAUGGUGCUGAGCUGGGUUUUCCUUCUUGCUAUUUUAAAAGGUGUCCAGGCUGAAGUGCAGCUUGUGGAGUCUGGAGGAGGCUUGGUGCAGCCUGGAGGGUCCCGAAAACUCUCCUGUGUGGCCUCAGGAUUCACUUUCAGUAGCUAUGUCAUGCACUGGAUCCGCCAGGCUCCAGGGAAGGGGCUGGAGUGGCUCUCUUACAUUAGUGAGACUGGAAAGAAUAUCAACUAUGCAGAUUCCGUAAAGGGCCGAUUCACCAUCUCCAGAGACAACGACAAAAACACAUUAUAUCUGCAAAUGAGCAGCUUGAAAGCCGAGGACACAGCCACCUAUUACUGUGCAAGACCACAGUGA